CAAACCUCCAGCACAGACUGAGGUGCUAUGUUACCCAGCUAUAGCCCCACGCAAUCCCAAGCCCACCAGGAUCCACGUGGACAAAUGAGUUCUACAUCGGCAGCAUGAGAAGCCAUCAUUGCUGAGCUGUUCAUGUGAAGCAAAAGUGAAUCAUGGCUGGAAGAAUUGUUUUAUGUGAAGAGAAAUCACUCAGCAAAGAUGCAGCUUUGAGAAGUGAGGAAAGAUGUGCUGUUGGGAAGGCUGGGCAAGGGCACCAUCACUGUUGAGUCACCUCUUCCUCCACAUAAUCACCUACAUCCCUCUAAGCUACCAGAUCUGGAUACGUCUCCCAGUAACAUGAAAAGAAGGAAAAGGAUAACGCAGGUAAGAAGGCACCCACCACUCCCUAGUUGGCAUGUAGCUGCGGCCUAGCAAUGGCAGAGCACAAC
rnacentral:lncRNA from 1 species